GACGAACGCUGGCGGCGUGCUUAACACAUGCAAGUCGAACGGAAAGGCCCUGCUUUUGUGGGGUGCUCGAGUGGCGAACGGGUGAGUAACACGUGAGUAACCUGCCCAUGACUUUGGGAUAACUUCAGGAAACUGGGGCUAAUACCGGAUAGGAGCUCCUGCUGCAUGGUGGGGGUUGGAAAGUUUCGGCGGUUGGGGAUGGACUCGCGGCUUAUCAGCUUGUUGGUGGGGUAGUGGCUUACCAAGGCUUUGACGGGUAGCCGGCCUGAGAGGGUGACCGGCCACAUUGGGACUGGGAUACGGCCCAGACUCCUACGGGAGGCAGCAGUGGGGAAUAUUGCACAAUGGGCGGAAGCCUGAUGCAGCAACGCCGCGUGCGGGAUGACGGCCUUCGGGUUGUAAACCGCUUUCGCCUGUGGCGAAGCGUGAGUGACGGUAAUGGGUAAAGAAGCACCGGCUAACUACGUG
rnacentral:rRNA from 1 species